rnacentral:rRNA from 1 species
UACAUGGGGUGCAAACGUUGCUCGGAAUCAUUGGGCGUAAAGAGCGUGUAGGCGGCCAGGUAGGUCUGCUGUGAAAACUCGAGGCUUAACCUCGAGCUGUCGGCGGAAACCAUUUGGCUAGAGUCCGGAAGAGGAGAAUGGAAUUCCCGGUGUAGCGGUGAAAUGCGCAGAUAUCGGGAAGAACACCCGUGGCGAAGGCGGUUCUCUGGGACGGUACUGACGCUGAGACGCGAAAGCGUGGGGAGCGAACAGG